GAUGAACGCUAGCGGCAGGCUUAACACAUGCAAGUCGAGGGGUAUAGUUCUUCGGAGCUAGAGACCGGCGCACGGGUGCGUAACGCGUAUGCAAUCUACCUUUUGCAGAGGGAUAGCCCAGAGAAAUUUGGAUUAAUACCUCAUGGUAUGUGAGAAUGGCAUCAUUUUCACAUUAAAGUCACAACGGCAAAAGAUGAGCAUGCGUCCCAUUAGCUAGUUGGUAAGGUAACGGCUUACCAAGGCAACGAUGGGUAGGGGUCCUGAGAGGGAGAUCCCCCACACUGGUACUGAGACACGGACCAGACUCCUACGAGAGGCAGCAGUGAGGAAUAUUGGACAAUGGGCGCAAGCCUGAUCCAGCCGUGCCGCGUGCAGGAUGGCGGUCCUAUGGAUUGUAAACUGCUUUUGUACAGGAAGAAACACUGGUUCGUGAACCAGCUUGACGGUACUGUAAGAAUAAGGAUCGGCUAACUCCGUGCCAGCCGCCGCCGUAACAC
rnacentral:rRNA from 1 species